CCUCAUCUCCCUCUUCUCUCUAAUCUCUCAUCAUCUCCCAUAUUUAAAGGUGUUGGACGGACCAUCUGGUGGUAUCAAGGUGUCGAGUUCCAUCCAAUAUACGCGAAGGAACAAGAAGGCUGCAAUCAGACCUUGAUCGGAAUCCUAUCGGAGAUCUGAUUGAAGGCUGAUGCAGGAGCUUGCAGAUUCAUCUAGGAGUAGACGAAUCGA
rnacentral:lncRNA from 1 species